UACGUAGGGUGCAAGCGUUGUCCGGAAUUAUUGGGCGUAAAGAGCUCGUAGGCGGUCUGUCGCGUCUGCUGUGAAAACUCAGGGCUUAACCCUGAGCUUGCAGUGGGUACGGGCAGACUAGAGUGCGGUAGGGGAGACUGGAAUUCCUGGUGUAGCGGUGAAAUGCGCAGAUAUCGGGAAGAACACCCGUGGCGAAGGCGGUUCUCUGGGACGGUACUGACGCUGAGGAGCGAAAGCAUGGGGAGCGAACAGG
rnacentral:rRNA from 1 species